rnacentral:rRNA from 1 species
CCUAGUACGGCGAGUGAACAGGCAAGAGCUCAGAUUUGAAAGGCACUUUUGUGCCGUUGUAUUCUGAAGUUAGGGUCCUGAGAAACGAUGCUUAAGUCUUCUGGAAAGGAGCGCCAUGGAGGGUGAUAGCCCCGUCUAGCAUUGACCUCAUAUAGGAUCUUAACAUGGAGUCGAGUUGUUUGGGAAUGCAGCUCAAAUGGGUGGUAUGCUCCAUCUAAAGCUAAAUAUCUGCGAGAGACCGAUAGUAAACAAGUACUGUGAGGGAAAGAUGAAAAGAACUUUGAAAAGAGAGUGAAAAAGUACGUGAAAUUGUUGAAAUGGAAGGGUAGGCCGCUAACCAUGUAGAGCCGUGUUUGGGGGGAAGAUAAAUGCUGUAGAAUGUAGCUCCUCGGAGUAUUAUAGAUGCAGUUCAUAUUCCCACCCGAGCGCGAGGAUCUCAGGUUCUACUAAAUGGUGGUCUACCACCCGUCUUGAACCACGGACCA